CGGCUGUCCAGCUGGAACUCAGCUGCGGGGCGGCACUUCCAGGUGACUGAGAGGCGCAGCCUGGCUGGGAGCAGACCGCUUCCCCCAGGGCCUCUGUGCUCCUGAGGACUGUCCUCACAGAGGGUUUGACCUUAGGCAACCUCAAAUCGUGGUUGUCACCAAACCUUAAAGGGUGACGUGAGCCUUAAAUGUGGUCUCGCAUCCGAAAGCAUGUUGUGGACUGCAGCGCAGCGCUGUUACUCUCAGUUUAAUAAAGUUUUCAAUGAAUUUAGCUCAAAGGACAACAACCUGAAAUGGAAUGGUUGUUUUCAAGAUUAAGUUUUGAAACUCUAGCAAAGAGUCCAAUGAGAGUUAGCUCAUUCAUUUAUCAAAGAUAAGAGCAGUAUUUUCAUCUAUUCUUUCUCUGAUUUGACUUUGAAAAAACGAGUCUGAACUUUUUAACAAUUCCGAGUGAAUUGUGUCGUCCCUGUUUUCUCCAUGAGCUCUGUAAGGUAUCUUUAUUGCUAUUUCUUUACAUUGAGAAACUGAGAUUGAAGGACGAUAAGAAAUUGGCUGAAAGUCAAUCAGUAAAUUGGUAAAUGUUAGAACCAUAAUAGAAUCCAGUUCUGGGUAACUUGAAAGCCUGUGAUUUUUGCACAUUAUGACCUUAUGUUUUCCAUUAUUCCCAUCCUUUGGUCACCAAAUGACUUUACUUUCAGUGAAGAGGCUUGGGGUCUAUGACAGUUGCUUAUGGUAUCAGUGCCCAUCUCUAGCUGUUGUCAUUCUUCUAUAUAAACAGUGAUUUUUACUGCUCAAGAGGGAACCUCUCAAGGUGCUUCUAAAACACGACUCCAGCUGGAGGGUGCUUUGUAAACUAUUCAAAGUCAGGAUGAAUACAGACUCAAAGGAGGUUUUGCCCAUGGAUGUACAUGGUCCUGAGGCUUGGGAAGAACUGACCGUGAAGGUGGAGACGGAAAGUCGCCUCCAGAUGCAGGAAUCCAGACUGAAACGUAGCAGUCCCCUGGCGAGGGAAGUCUUCCGAACGCGCUUUCGACAGCUGUGUUACCAGGAAACUCCUGGACCCAGGGAGGCCCUCACCCAGCUCCGUGAGCUGUGCCGCCAGUGGUUGAGGCCUCAUGCGAGCACGAAGGAGCAGAUCCUGGAGCUGCUGGUGCUGGAGCAGUUCCUGACCAUCCUGCCCAAGGAGCUCCAGGCCUGGGUGCAGGAGCACUGUCCAGAGAGUGGGGAAGAGGCUGUGAUUCUGCUGGAGGAUCUGGAGAAGGAGCUCGAUGAGCCACAACUUGAGAUGGUAGCCUACGGACAGGGACGAGAAGUCUGCUCUAGAGAGACGGUGCCUCUAGGCGAGCAGACCUCACUGAGCCUUCAGUCCCAGCCCGAGGAGCCCCAGCUCCCUCGUGACACUGCCCAAGAGUCCCGCCCUACUGGAGAGACAGACACAUUCCUGUUUUCCACACCUGUUGUCCUCCCCCAGCUAAAAGGAGCAGGAGAACCGUGGUCUGACAACAGAGGAGCCCUACAAGGCGCCUGUUCUGAUGGAACGAGCAUGGCUGAGGACAGAGAAGUGGUGCCGAGGAAAGACUGUCCUAAGAUAGCGGAGUCCCGCGGGGAAGUCCUUUCCGCACAGACCUGGGAGGAGGCACGCGGGGGGCCCGGGCCUGGACAGGGCUGGGCAGAGGGGCGCCGGGGCGGCCCCCCGGGGCGGGGAUGGCACACAUGUGACGAGUGCGGCAAGACCUUUGCCCAGAAUUCGGGCCUCACCCGCCACCGCAGGGUGCACACGGGCGAGAGGCCCUACGCGUGCGGCGAGUGCGGGAAGGCGUUCAGCCGCAGCUCGGGGCUGUUCAAUCACCGCGGCAUCCACGACGCGCACCGGCGGUACCGCUGCCGGGAGUGCGGGAAGGCCUUCAGCCAGAGCGCCGGCCUCAUCCAGCACCAGCGCAGCCACCGGCCGGAGCGGCCGCACCGCUGCGCCCAGUGCGGGAAGAGCUACGGCCGGCGCUCCUUCCUCCUGGAGCACGAGCGCAGCCACACGGGGGAGCGGCCGCACCGCUGCGCCCGCUGCGGAAAGGACUUCACCCGCCAGUGCAACCUCAUCCGCCACCAGAAGACUCACGCGGCCGCCGGGCCGCGGUGACUCUGGGGCGCGCCUGUCCCUGGUCACGGGCCCGGCCCCCGGGGACGGGAAGGCCAGGAAGCGUCGUCUUCUCGCCCCCUCCUCGCGUUUUGGAGCAGACGCUGAGCCGUGGUCUGGGCAAAUCCGAAGAGGAAGCUUUGGGUGUUUGCACUGCUGCUUCCGUGCCCUGGCUCUCCCCCUGCCCACCCUGCUUCACCCUGUACUCACCCUUCUUGUUUACUCAGAUGGCAGCUGCUGAACCUUCUUAGUAAUGGAAUAAAUGGCGCUGCCAGGCCAAUAUGCCUGAAACACGUGCGUCCCUGUUUAAUUCCAUAAGGUCACAUAGAGCCCUGCUGAUGUUUUAUGAUACGUGGGUCUUCAGUGUUCCCAGGGCCAGUUCCUCUGCGCCCACUCCUUGUCCACCCCACCGCUUCCCCUGAUGAGCUCAUUGUGCCCUUGGAACAGGGGCCACCGUGUGCAGGGUCUACCUACCCGCGAGGGGCGGGGACACUGCACUGUCCUUGUCCCUUGUAUGGAUGCAGACGGGAAGACUCAAGUCCAGGCUUGGAGUCAAGGUUGAAAACCUGGACCUUUAUUGUGGAAUAAUUUGAGCUCCUGAAAACGGUAGUUUUCACAUGCUCUUAAUUGGGUUCCCUAGUGUUGACAUCCAACAUCAUGUCGUUAAACCCCUGGCUUCAGACUUUAUCCUCAGUCUGUUGGGGUGUUGUGCUAGUCUCUGGUCACCCGGAACCCCCUUCGUGCCUGUCCAUCGUCAGCACCACAGGUCACUUGUAUCCCGAGUCCAGGGUCCUGCCAGGGAAUUGGAUCAUGAGCCAUGUAACGUGCUGUUAAAACAACCCUCUUAGAUCUCCUGAGUCCUUCUUUUCUGUCGCUUGGCUCGGUCCGGAGAAAGACUCCCCCCCUGAACAUGUUGGGGUUUUCCUGCGGUUCCACAGCUGGUGCAGUGGUUCGGCAGCGGCUCAGAGGACAGCUGUGUGGCCUUGAGUGUCUUCCUUCCAGGGAGCUGCCUUCCCGGGGACGUGUCCUUGUGGGGAGACGAGGCUCCCCUGGUCAGGGCGGAACAGACCCGAGGCUCGCGGCUCCCUUAUUCCCUCUUAUGAUUUCUCCACCGAGGCUGCAGCCCCAUCUCUCUCCUUCGAUCCGCUAGAACGGACGUCCCCCAGGCACAAGAGCCGUGCCCUCAGUUGGCCAGGGCAGCCGGCCCUGGAAUUGGGGAUUCUAUCCUUUACCUCCAAGGGAGAAUUUCAGACAGAAGUGGAGCACAGUAGUGACCCCCGUGUCCUCAGCACCAGCUUCCACGGUUAUGACUCGGGGCGCAUUCUGUCUAUGGACACCUUCUCCACUUCCUCUGGGGGAGCUGGAGGAAGACUUACAAUGUAGAGGUCGGUCAGACUGAGAUCCUUAAGUGGCUCUUCUGACUGAGCCCCUUCUCAGUCCGAGUCUCCCUCUCCUUUCUUCUUGUUUCUUGGGAAGUUGGAUUUUAAGGCAAAACUCUUACGAACAGUUUCCCAUCACAGGGAGAGAAACUACCUAAUGCAGAUUCCACGAAGCACCAGCUUGAGCCAUUUCCCUCACUCUGUCAUGGAAGGUUCUACUUCUGAGAAGCCCAAGGACUGUUCUGAGGAGCAGCAGACGGCAGUGGUACGGAAGGACACUGGGGUCCAUAAAGUACACGUCAGAUAAGGAGAAGGUGACGUGAUUACUAAAUGCGAACAUGAUACAGAAAAGGAGGGUUGGACAGCAGUGAGAGACUUCCUUGUAAGUUAAGGUUUUUGUGGGACUUUUUCUUUUACCUCAAUUUAAAAAAAAAGAUGUAUUACAGACUGCUGUCACAUGGGUUUAAAAGUAGAUCAAUACUGGGGCGCCUGGGUGGCUCAGUCAGUUGAGUGUCUGAUGUUGGCUCAGGUCAUGAUCUCACGGUUCAUGGGUUUGAAUCCCACAACGGGCUCUGUGCUGACAGUGAAGGGCCUGCUUGAGAUUCUGUCUCUCCUCUCUCUGCCCCUCUCCUGCUCUGUCUCUCAAAAUAAAUAAAAACAUUAAAAAAAAAAAUAA